rnacentral:lncRNA from 1 species
GGGGGAGGGUUGGUGUCAGCAGUUCAAGACUGUCUUUCCUACCCUCUUCAGUGCCUUUUUCUGUAAUAUGAAGUUAGAACCAAGUACUGUUAUUACUUAACUGAUUUUUGGUUCUUAUGAAGGUGCUUUUUUGUGUGGAUGGUUGUUCAAUUUGGUGUUCUUGCAGGGAGGAUAAUCCUUGAAGGUUUCUAUUUAGCCAUCUUGCUCUGCCUCUUGCUCCUAUAACAUUUUUAGAAAAGAAAAUGGAUAUUUUAAUUAGAAGCAACUGAUUCUACUACUAAAUUAACAUUGCUUGGGUCCACAUUUUGCACACUAAAACAUUCACAGAAAGAGUUCUUAUAUUUGUAACUGUACUUAAUAGGUAGGAAGAUUUUAAAGUGUACAAUAUUAAACAUUGUUUAUAUGAAUAUUGGAGAUUCUUACUUCAAACAUUUUUGUAAUGUUUCCACUUAAAUAUCAAUUACCAGGCAGACUCUUACCAGUGAUAACAUUCUUGGGAAUUUGCAGGAUCCCUUUUUGACCAAAAAUGAACCACAAGGCACUUAUAAACCCCGUGAGCUUGGACAGGAAAUGGGAAUUUGAAUCAAUAACUCUGCUGGAGUCACACCAGCUAUUGGCAAGGGAGGAAUCAGAGAUUCUCUUCAUAGGCUGUCAUUCCAAGGAGGCAGAUUAUGGUGUUGCAGUUGACUCUUAGAUGACUGAAUUCUUCCCUUUGGCUAUAAGGUACAAAGGAGAUACGUGGAUGAGAGGCUUUUGGAAUUCUGCCACUCUUGUUUGAAUAUGAGGCACAUGGCCACAGCUCAUGCUUUCCUAGCAGCACAGCUGCUGGAGGCAUAUCAUCUCUAGCCACACACAGUACUUGAUCUCCUCCACUGCAAGGUAAGAGUGGGUCUAUUGAAAGACAAGUGUUUGACCAGAGGUUGCAACUUUUGCUUCAGGGCUGCAUGUUUUAUGGAUUUUAGCACAGAACAUAUCUUUCUUUUUUCUAUUUUUGAGGCAGGGUUUCACUCUGUCACACAGGCUUGGAGUGCAGAGACAUAAUCAUAGCUCACUGCAGCCUCGAUCUCCUGGGCUCAAAUAAUCCUUCCACCUCAGCUUCCCAAGUAGCUGGGACCACAGGCCCACAGGCCCACACACCACCAUACCUGGCUAACUUUUGUAUUAUUAUUAUUAUUAUUAUUAUUAUUAUUAUUAUUUUGUAGAGAUAGGGUUUUACUGUACUGCCCAGGCUGAUCUAGAACUCCUAGGCUUAAGAGAUCCACCCACCAACUCAGCCUCCCUAACUGCUGGGAUUACAGGCGUGAGCCACUGCAUCCAGCCCAACAUACCCUUUUCAUCUUGGUCUUUCUGCACAAUGCAGUUAAAAACCACAUUGCAGUUUUUAUAGCCAUAGUAAUCUUGAAGGACUGUUGAAAAUAUGUGAGAAAUGUCUUCAGACCUUGUAUAUAGUAGGAUGCUAUUAGUGUGAUUAAGAUCCUACAGAAUAUGAUUUAGUCCCAUGUAUAAUCUAAUCUACAUCCAACUCAGUUCAAGUGUUUAGCACAGAGAUGAAGAAUGGGGAAUUAUUAUGAAGAGGAGUUGAAUUUCAACUUCAAAAAAGUACAGCAGUUAGUGACACUGGGCAUAUACUAAGAAACAGUUCACGACAUAUAGGUAGGCCUUGGAGAUAUCAUGGGUUAAGUUCCAAACCACCGCAAUAAAGCAAAUAUCACAAUAAAGAGAGCCACGUGAAUUUUUUUGUUUUCCAGAGCAUACAAAAGUUAUGUUUACACUUAUACUAUAGGUUAUGAAGUGUGCAAUAGUAUUAUGCCAAAAGAGUAAGUUAUUAAUUAAAAAUAUUUUAUUGCUAAAAAUUGAUAUCAUCUGAAACUUCAUUG